rnacentral:rRNA from 1 species
GACAGAGGGGGCAAGCGUUGCUCGGAAUCACUGGGCGUAAAGCGCACGUAGGCGGAUUCUUAAGUCAGGGGUGAAAUCCCGGAGCUCAACUCCGGAACUGCCUUUGAUACUGGGAGUCUCGAGUUCGGGAGAGGUGAGUGGAACUGCGAGUGUAGAGGUGAAAUUCGUAGAUAUUCGCAAGAACACCAGUGGCGAAGGCGGCUCACUGGCCCGAUACUGACGCUGAGGUGCGAAAGCGUGGGGAGCAAACAGG